CCUACGGGAGGCAGCAGUGGGGAAUAUUGGACAAUGGGCGAAAGCCUGAUCCAGCCAUGCCGCGUGUGUGAAGAAGGCCUUCGGGUUGUAAAGCACUUUCAGUGGGGAAGAAAGCCUUGGGGCUAAUACCCUCGAGGAAGGACAUCACCCACAGAAGAAGCACCGGCUAACUCCGUGCCAGCAGCCGCGGUAAUACGGAGGGUGCGAGCGUUAAUCGGAAUUACUGGGCGGAAAGCGCGCGUAGGCGGUCUGAUAAGCCGGUUGUGAAAGCCCCGGGCUCAACCUGGGAACGGCAUCCGGAACUGUCAGGCUAGAGUGCAGGAGAGGAAGGUAGAAUUCCCGGUGUAGCGGUGAAAUGCGUAGAGAUCGGGAGGAAUACCAGUGGCGAAGGCGGCCUUCUGGACUGACACUGACGCUGAGGUGCGAAAGCGUGGGUAGCAAACAGGAUUAGAUACCCCAGUAGUC
rnacentral:rRNA from 1 species